CUUCGGUUGGCUCCGAUCAGACGUCGCGACAACAGAGCCGUGCCCUAGCAACGAUCCUUAAGGUCACGGAUUGGGCAAUUUCUUUUGGAGACAACCGAUUGAGUGAGGUUAUGUGCUCCUGCGGUGGAUCUGGAAUUGGGUUCUGUGGCAGCUUGGUUUCCAGCAGUGUUCUGUGAGGUUGCUUAUUGUUGGUCCGGCAGCACCCACAACCGGUAGCUCCUCUAGUUCCAGCAUCAACAGUUGCUGGAAAUUGAGGAUUCUGAUUCGAGACGGGCAUCUCGAAGUUGACAUUGGAUUAGGAUUGGAUUGUACCUUCUAUUUGAGGCGGGUACCCUUUGACUUAUCUUUUGAUACUGUCUUAUGAUAUGUGCACUUUAUAUAUAAUUACUAGUGAUGG